GAUGAACGCUAGCGGCAGGCUUAAUACAUGCAAGUCGAGGGGCAGCAGUCCCGCAGCAAUGCGGGAGCUGGCGACCGGCAAACGGGUGCGGAACACGUACAGAACCUUCCUUCGAGCGGGGAAUAGCCCAGAGAAAUUUGGAUUAAUACCCCAUAGCAUUACGAAGUGGCAUCACUUUGUAAUUAAAGAUUUAUCACUCGAAGAUGGCUGUGCGGCUGAUUAGGUAGUUGGCGGAGUAACGGCCCACCAAGCCUUCGAUCAGUAACUGGUGUGAGAGCACGACCAGUCACACGGGCACUGAGACACGGGCCCGACUCCUACGGGAGGCAGCAGUAAGGAAUAUUGGUCAAUGGACGAAAGUAC
rnacentral:rRNA from 1 species